rnacentral:lncRNA from 1 species
UCAAUGAGAAACAAUAUUCAGGUCAGGUCAAAGCCUAGAGAAAAAUGCGCAUUCAGAAGUGGGCUGCCAUCCUGCUUUUUCUGAAGUGAACAGCUGCUGGGUAUUGAAACCAGCCCUCACGGUUGGGUCCCUGCCACCAUGGCAACACUCUGGUUUCUGAGCUGGAGUGGCCAAGGCACAAUGGGGUGGUUCCAUGGCCCAGAAGCACUCUAGCUACAGAUUAGAAUGAUGACAAGAGUAAUACCUUCCUAGUGAAGAUGACUUUUAUUUCAGGACUAUAUUAAGUUUCCCAACUUCUGUCAUGAUAUAGUCCAAAGAGAACCUGGACCACGCAGACAUCAAACAGAACAUGACACUGACCCAUUCUAUCAGUGACGUUGUGCUGAUUGCACAGGACAGAUGAGAGGCUCGUAUACUAGAAGUCUUGUUAUCCACAGAAGGAAUGAUCUGCAAUGUACACACGCCAGGACAGAAAUUCUACAGUUGCUGAUAAAAUGUAAACCUAAUGAACACCUUGACUCAUGGCUGCAUCUGCAAGGAAGAUGGGACAUCCAUUCUCACUUGUACACAGGCUAUGGGUUGUCCGGAGCCCUGAGCUGAAGACAGGCCUGCUGCUGAUCCCAGAGACAGAUGGCCAGAGUUAGGAACAGCAUGCACAAAGAAGAUCCUAAGCCUUCCUGGAGAAGUGCCAAUAUCAUCAUUUGGGGGUCUUAAAGCCAAGCUGGGGAAUAAGCGUUAUGGGGAAUGCUGAGAAGGAGAUGUUUAAUCAAGUGUGUAGGUUUAGGACUUCAGUCAAAGGGCUGCUUUUUUGCUGCUCUCAGGCAGUUUUCACUGCAUGCCUUCACCUCUGGUAUCUUCAAAGCACUCCUUGGCUUGUGCCAUUAAUACUUUACCUAAGAUUUUUAGAAAUUCUGUCUGGUCAUAUGCUACAUCCUACUUGUAUUGAAAGAACCCUUAGGAUUUCCCCUUUAUUGCUAUACAUCUCUUUAAGUCUCUUAUCUUUAGAGACUAAAGUAAAAUUUGGUCCUUUAAUAAUCAUAAUAAACAGGUAAUCAUACUUACCUGUUUCUUGAUUUGACCUGAGAACAUCUUAAGCAAAGCUUGUUAGAAAGUGAGUUAAAGCGUGGCUCUUUAGUCUGGAGCCUGUGAAGGAUGUUACAGUUGCUGGAAAUAGACAAGCAGGCUUUGUUUGCAUUGAACCACAGCAAUGUCUCAUGCUCUUCCUUGUUCUCUAUUUAGCACUUCAUCUUCAUCUAAUCUCUAACAAAGCAUGGUCUGUGGCAGGCAGUCUGUGGUAAGCACAGUGAAUCAGCCUACCCUUCUGGAAGGUGACAGCAGUGAGGAGUGUCUAAAUAUUUAUUUCAAAUAUAAUCUAUCCUGUAGUCCUCCACAUUCAAAGAUUUUCCAAUUUAAAAUAUCCAUGGCCAGGGGGUCGGUUCCAAGAUGGCCGAAUAGGAA